rfam:Oryza brachyantha chromosome 6, whole genome shotgun sequence.
UUUGGAGCGGUGAUGAGCAAUUUUUAUUUGGACUAGAGUUUCUGAUACUGCUACUCUGGGGUAGCUGAAGACCAAACCCUUGGCUGUCUGAGCUUCCAG